rnacentral:rRNA from 1 species
UACGUAGGGUGCGAAGCGUUAAUCGGAAUUACUGGGCGUAAAGCGUGCGCAGGCGGUCUGUAAGACGAGUGUGAAAUCCCCGGGCUUAACCGUGGGAACUGCAUUGGUGACUGGCAGGCUUUGAGUGUGGCAGAGGGAGGUAGAAUUCCACGUGUAGCAGUGAAAUGCGUAGAGAUGUGGAGGAAUACCGAUGGCGAAGGCAGCCUCCUGGGCCAACACUGACGCUCGAUGCACGAAAGCGUGGGGAGCAAACAG